rnacentral:rRNA from 1 species
GCCCUAGUAACGGCGAGUGAAGCGGCAACAGCUCAAAUUUGAAAUCUGGCGCAAGCCCGAGUUGUAAUUUGUAGAGGAUGCUUCUGGGUAGCGACCGAUCUAAGUUCCUUGGAACAGGACGUCAUAGAGGGUGAGAAUCCCGUAUGUGACCGGCCCGCACCCUUUACGUAGCUCCUUCGACGAGUCGAGUUGUUUGGGAAUGCAGCUCUAAAUGGGAGGUAAAUUUCUUCUAAAGCUAAAUACCGGCCAGAGACCGAUAGCGCACAAGUAGAGUGAUCGAAAGAUGAAAAGUACUUUGGAAAGAGAGUUAAAAAGCACGUGAAAUUGUUGAAAGGGAAGCGCCUGCAACCAGACUUCGCGGCAGUGUUCCGCCGGUCUUCUGACCGGUUCAUUCUCUGUCGCGAGGCCAUCAUCGUCUGGGCCCGCCGGAUAAGACCUGAGGAAUGUGGCUCCCCCUCGGGGGAGUGUUAUAGCCUCUGGUGAUGCGGCGUGGCUCGGGCGAGGUCCGCGCUUCGGCAAGGAUGAUGGCGUAAUGGUUGUCGGCGGCCCGUCUUGAAACACGGACCAAGGAGUCUAACAUCUAUGCGAGUGUUCGGGUGUCAAACCCCUACGCGUAAUGAAAGUGAACGGAGGUGGGAACCGCAAGGUGCACCAUCGACCGAUCCUGAUGUCCUCGGAUGGAUUUGAGUAAGAGCAUAGCUGUUGGGACCCGAAAGAUGGUGAACUAUGCCUG